rnacentral:rRNA from 1 species
GACGAACGCUGGCGGCGUGCCUAAUACAUGCAAGUAGGACGCAGUUGCGAGCGGGUGAGUAAAGCGUAUGUAAAUACCUAUUAGAGGGGGAUAACUAUUGGAAACGAUAGCUAAUACCGCAUACUAGUAGAUGGACCUGCGUUGUAUUAGCUAGUAGGUAGGGUAAUGGGCUACCUAGGCAACGAUACAUAGCCGACCUGGGAGGGUGAGCGGGCAACCUGGGAAUGGAACAAGGCCCAGAAUUCUUCGGGAGGCAGCAGUAGGGAAAUUUCGGGAAUGGGGGGAACGCUGACCGAGCAAAGCCGCGGGAGUGAAGAAGGGUUUCGGAUUGGAAAGCUCUGUUGUUAAGGAAGCGGUACUUAACCAGAAAGGGACGGCUAACUACGUGCCAGCAGCCGCGGUAAUUC